rnacentral:rRNA from 1 species
GGUCUGCAACUCGACCACACGAAGCUGGAAUCGCUAGUAAUCGCGAAUCAGCAUGUCGCGGUGAAUACGUUCCCGGGUCUUGUACACACCGCCCGUCACACCAUGGGAGUCAGUAACGCCCGAAGUCAGUGACCGAACCUGAGAGGGAAGGAGCUGCCGAAGGCGGGACGGAUAACUGGGGUGAAGUCGUAACAAGGUACC